CCAAUAGCGUAUAUUAAAGUUGUUGCAGUUAAAAAGCUCGUAGUUGAAUUUCGGGGUCAGUAGGUUGGUCGUGCCACUGGUACGUACUGGCCUCACUGAUUCCUCCUUCCUGAUGAGCCGUAAUGCCAUUAAUUUGGUGUUGCGAGGAAUCUGGACUGUUACUUUGAAAAAAUCAGAGUGUUUAAAGCAGGCUAACGCUUGAAUACAUUAGCAUGGAAUAAUGAAAUAGGACGUUCGAUCUUAUUUUGUUGGUUUCUAAGAUUGACGUAAUGAUUAAUAGGGAUAGUUGGGGGCAUUAGUAUUCAAUUGUCAGAGGUGAAAUUCUUGGAUUUAUUGAAGACUAACUACUGCGAAAGCAUUUGCCAAGGAUGUUUUCAUUAAUCAAGAACGAAAGUUAGGGGAUCGAAGACGAUCAGAUACCGUCGUAGUCUUAACCAUAAACUAUGCCGACUAGGGAUCGGAUGAUGUUAAUUUUUUAAUGACUCAUUCGGCGCCUUACG
rnacentral:rRNA from 1 species